rnacentral:rRNA from 1 species
CUUGAACGCUGGCGGCAGGCCUAACACAUGCAAGUCGAACGAGUGGCGGACGGGUGAGUAAUGUCUGGGAAACUGCCCGAUGGAGGGGGAUAACUACUGGAAACGGUAGCUAAUACCGCAUACCAUCGGAUGUGCCCAGAUGGGAUUAGCUAGUAGGUGGGGUAACGGCUCACCUGGGCGACGAUCCCUAGCUGGUCUGAGAGGAUGACCAUCAACAAUGGAACUGAGAAACGGUCCAGACUCCGACGGGAGGCAGCAGUGGGGAAUAUUGCACAAUGGGCGCAAGCCUGAUGCAGCCAUGCCGCGUGUAUGAAGAAGGCCUUCGGGUUGUAAAGUACUUUCAGCGAGGAGGCGUUACUCGCAGAAGAAGCACCGGCUAACUCCGUGCCAGCAGCCGCGGUAAUUC